rnacentral:lncRNA from 1 species
UUUUAAUGUUUACAGUAGUCACUUCAUAGGGACACCAACUUCAUCUUCAAUUCUGACACUGGAGUUGCUUUAUUGGGAAAGCUGCGAGAAGACAAACAGCUACUCCAAAAAUAUAACUACAAAGAGGAAAAAUAAAGUCGAGAUCGUACUGUGCUCUAUAGUAAGAUUACAUAGUUUUACUUGCAUAGCACAAGCGUACAGAAGUAUGAGUUAACAGGCAGCGAUACAAUCCAUCUCAAUUCAUGUUAUUGCUUCUUUUUUCCUCCAAGUAACUGGUUGCUGGUCACUGCUGGAGCCAAGAGAGGCUUACUGGCACUUGCUUUCCAGCAGUUUAAUUUGGUUUAGCCAAGGAAUACUGUACACUACAAAGGUGCAUGUGGUAUACUUAGCCAUCUCUGGCUCAUCGUGGAAUUCGCAGCUCUGGAGAUCACCUGAUGACUUGGGGCAAGUUGUCCGACCAAUCUCAACCUGCAGGAUGUACUUGAUUCCAGACACGAGCUGCCGCUUGGCGCUGAUGACCCGCACCACCCGGCUGGAGUACUUAUCGUUGCUGGCCCUGUUGUACUCGGCCAUGGCGAACUGCAGGGCCCGCUGCAAGCCCUCGUCGUUCUCAUCUACAGGCACUGGAGCCCCCAGGAGCCGGGAGCGGUCCUCGCUGCCCAGGACAGCGCCGACGAGCAUUAGGGCCGCGGCCAGCAGCACUACGCAACCCCGAGCUCCUGCCAUGGCUCCACACACCGCACUACACGCCGCUGCCGCCAUUUUAAGGCCUGCGGAGCGGAGUGGGCGGCGGCCUCGGCCCACACUCCCCUCCCCGCCCCGCCCCUCGCCGCGACGGGGAGGGCUGCUCUCCUCCCGGCCGGACAGAGCAGGACAGACGGAGGCUGGAACUCAGCAAGGCUGGGAAGUGGGACGGUUUAGAGAGGCAACAACUACACCCAAAGUGGCGGCUGUAAAGAGUACGCUAGGGAACGUCGUGCCUGGAAGUCCUAGCCCUCGCACGGUGGGCUUUCAGAGCAGUCCCGCAGCCAGGCUGCACUCAGGGUGAACUCUCGCAGACUUUCAGGGGGACCGGCCGUGCGUGGGGGCUUGGCGCGGCAGGAACGCGGCUGUCCCGUCCGGAAUUACACCACCCACAGCCCUCUUUUUGGGUCGGGAUGGAGGAGGCUGCUUUCCCACAUGGGUCCGGGAACCUGGAGGCUUUUCCAGGCUCUGCCUCCUCAUGACUUAUUCUAGCCCUUAUUUCCCCUUGCUGUGGAGAGGUGGCAACAAAACCACAGGGCAUUUUAGGUUACUAAUUUGGCUUUUAGCACAAAACACCGCGUGUCAUUUCCUAUAUCUGCCUCCACAGAUUGGUGUUUCCUCAUCUACAUUAAUUGCUCAAGGUCAGAGAGGCAUCAGUGGCAAGGCUGGCUUCCCAGACAGAUGGUUUAACUUCUAGUUUCAUCUCAUAACCACAAGGUUGUCUUUUUCUCCUGUCCAGAACCCUAAGUUAGGCAAGACAGCACCUAAUAUAGCACUACAGAGCUAGUGUGAGUGAGAUUUAAGGCUUUGUGCAGUUAUUAGACUAAGAGAGCGUGACAUUUUAUGCCUGAAUAUCCUCAACACCUCCCAUAAUGAGAAGGAAGGGGCUUGUGCGCUGACUGGAAAGGCUGUUUGUAGCCUGCUGAGUGCCAGCAAUAUCCAGCAUGAAAACUGUCACAGGAAACCCCCCUACACUUGGCAGCAAGCUGUGCAACUAAUGCUGCAGCUGCAGGACAUUACGGUAGCUUUUACUGGUAAGAGAAAGAAGUGAGCGCCACUGCAGCACCAGGUGCUGUCAGUGACACAGGAGGGAAUAUCCGUGCUGUUGGGACUGAGGGAGCUUUGGCCACUUCUUCAGAGCCAGUCCGAGCUGACGCUGGGCAGAAAAGGCAUUACAGUCACCCUUUGUGUAUCUGGGGGGAAAAGCAGUGAGAAAUAGCUCUGUUAAGAGCUAAAUGCUUUGCCUGCAGUACAGGCAAACAAGUCACCUCAUUGGAGUUAAGAUAAAACAAGCCAUAGUUGGCCUGUGUCCUUCUCCUGAGUUAUAGCAGCACACACUUUAAUGCAGAGCUGCUUACCCAGGACCACGUCCAGGUGGCUUUUGAAGAACUCAGAGGAGGAGCCUCCACAACUUCACUGGGUAGCCUGUGACAGUGCAGUGGCACCCAGACAGCACAGGAGGACUUCCUGAUGGUCAGUGGGAGCCUGCUGUGUUCAGC